rnacentral:rRNA from 1 species
GCAGUAGCCGCGGUAAUACAGAGGGUGCGAGCGUUAAUCGGAUUUACUGGGCGUAAAGCGUGCGUAGGCGGCUUCUUAAGUCGGAUGUGAAAUCCCUGAGCUUAACUUAGGAAUUGCAUUCGAUACUGGGAAGCUAGAGUAUGGGAGAGGAUGGUAGAAUUCCAGGUGUAGCGGUGAAAUGCGUAGAGAUCUGGAGGAAUACCGAUGGCGAAGGCAGCCAUCUGGCCUAAUACUGACGCUGAGGUACGAAAGCAUGGGGAGCAAACAGGAUUAGAUACCCGUGUAGUCCCUGUCUCUUAUAA